UGCAGUCGAGCGAAUGAUGAGGAGCUUGCUCCUCUGAUUUAGCGGCGGACGGGUGAGUAACACGUGGGUAAUCUGCCUGUAAGACGGGGAUAACUCCGGGAAACCGGGGCUAAUACCGGAUAAUAAGAGAAGAAGCAUUUCUUCUUUUUGAAAGUCGGUUUCGGCUGACACUUACAGAUGAGCCCGCGGCGCAUUAGCUAGUUGGUGAGGUAACGGCUCACCAAGGCGACGAUGCGUAGCCGACCUGAGAGGGUGAUCGGCCACACUGGGACUGAGACACGGCCCAGACUCCUACGGGAGGCAGCAGUAGGGAAUCUUCGGCAAUGGGCGAAAGCCUGACCGAGCAACGCCGCGUGAGCGAUGAAGGCCUUCGGGUCGUAAAGCUCUGUUGUUAGAGAAGAACAAGUACGAGAGUAACUGCUCGUACCUUGACGGUACCUAACCAGAAAGCCACGGCUAACUACGUGCCAGCAGCCGCGGUAAUACGUAGGUGGCAAGCGUUAUCCGGAAUUAUUGGGCGUAAAGCGCGCGCAGGCGGUCUCUUAAGUCUGAUGUGAAAGCCCACGGCUCAACCGUGGAGGGUCAUUGGAAA
rnacentral:rRNA from 1 species